ACAAAACCGAGCCUCUUAAACAGUGCUGAGCUGCUUAGAGUUGAAACAUUUCAACAUAAAGAAUUUGUCUUCUAGUGGUGUUAGAAGUGAGGGUACUCUGAGAAUGAAGCUAUUUACCACUAUCUCACUAGUUCUUCUUUGAUCUUGACAACUGCCAUCAAUAUCAAGAAAUCAAACAACCCCAGGGAAAAACUGGACCUGUUCCCACCAUGGUGCACGUGCAGUAAGGAGCAUUCUUCUUGGUUCCCACACCCCUGCCUCAAAGUACAGCCAGUGACAGGACAGCGGCUCUGCUUUCACCUCUCUCACUACUGGCCAACUAGUGAACCUGUCAGCACUGCCUCGUCCCAGAAUAGCUGCAUGCCUCACUGGGGCACCUGAGCGAUAAGGUGAACAGAGCGAUAAGAUGGUGCUGAAAGUGAAGGAAGUGGUGCUGAAGACAUCUACAUCUGCCUCUGAAGGCAGCCCAACACCCCUGGAAGAGCACUCCC